rnacentral:tRNA from 1 species
GGGGAAGUAACUCAGUUUGGUUAGAGUAUUGGCCUGUCACGCCAAAAGCCGCGGGUUCGAGUCCCGUCUUUCCCG